rnacentral:rRNA from 1 species
UGACUGAGUGGCGGACGGGUGAGUAACGCGUGGGUAACCUGCCUCAUACAGGGGGAUAGCAGCUGGAAACGGCUGGUAAUACCGCAUAAGCGCACAGUACCACAUGGUACAGUGUGAAAAACUCCGGUGGUAUGAGAUGGACCCGCGUCUGAUUAGCUUGUUGGUGAGGUAACGGCCCACCAAGCCGACGAUCAGUAGCCGACCUGAGAGGGUGACCGGCCACAUUGGGACUGAGACACGGCCCAAACUCCUACGGGAGGCAGCAGUGGGGAAUAUUGCACAAUGGGCGAAAGCCUGAUGCAGCAACGCCGCGUGAGUGAAGAAGUAUCUCGGUAUGUAAAGCUCUAUCAGCAGGGAAGAAAAUGACGGUACCCGACUAAGAAGCCCCGGCUAACUACGUGCCAGCAGCCGCGGUAAUACGUAGGGGGCAAGCGUUAUCCGGAUUUACUGGGUGUAAAGGGAGCGCAGACGGCACUGCAAGUCUGAAGUGAAAGCCCGGGGCUCAACCCCGGGACUGCUUUGGAAACUGUAGAGCUAGAGUGCUGGAGAGGCAAGCGGAAUUCCUAGUGUAGCGGUGAAAUGCGUAGAUAUUAGGAAGAACACCAGUGGCGAAGGCGGCUUGCUGGACAGUAACUGACGUUCAGGCUCGAAAGCGUGGGGAGCAAACAGGAUUAGAUACCCUGGUAGUCCACGCUGUAAACGAUGAAUACUAGGUGUUGGUGGGCAAAG